AUAAAGGGAACUGCUGGAGACGCCGCUCGGUCUUUUACGUCUGGACUGGGGAAGUGUGGUCUUGUUGUGGAUCAAAAGAUCGUUUGAAAAUGGGCCGUCCCCGACCUUGUCUGAGAUUGAGCUGUACUGUGCCCAGAUGGCGCUAUGUGCAAAGCAGAUUAGUAAAAGAGGCAGGGAUCUGGCAUUCUGUGAAAACGCUUAAUCUUCAAAAUAAUUGGUCCGCUGUGGGAACAUUGGGCUCUGUGUGGUGUAAAGGAGCUGUUACCGGGCGGUGAUAAGGUGGAGGGGGAAAUUCCAAAACAAAUAUCCAAGAGAAUAUUUGCUAGGAAAUGACUUGAUUGGAACCUGACAGUCUUAACCCAGUAUCCUGGAGAUUGAUGAACAAUAAUGGAGCUAUAAAUGUCACAGAGGAGCAACCUUGCUUUGAGGUGUCGCUGUCUGCCCAUGGAAAGAGGCCAGUUUGCAGUAACCUUCCUAACGCAUAACUCAUUUCUGGCAAAUGCCACCAGAUUUACUUGUAUGAAAAACAUAAGGAAAAGCUCUUCAUUUUACUGGCAUGGAAAGAAAACCUACAAAUCAAGACCAUAUAUUCAUUUUUAUUUAUGUAAACAAAUUAAUCAAAUCAAAUGUAUCCAUAAAAAUUAAGCCUCUUACUUUUGUCACACUGCCCUAGCCACAACCUGUUAGUCAGAUUGCUUUGUAGAUCUAGUUCUAUUUUAAAUACAGGAAUGUGUAGAAAACUAAUUUUUAUGGUAAAGUCUUUUUUUUUUUUUUUCUCCAGUUAACCAGACUUGUAAUCAGAUCACUCUGAAUGCUUUGUCUUUGGUCACCUGUUUAAAUUUAAAGUGUGUGAAUGUAAUUAAAGCGGAGUGAAAAUUGGAGUAUUGUGGGGAAAUCCUUGGGGUUUUUUUGGCGAAAUGACUUGGUUUGGCAGUAUCACUGAAUAAGUACAAAUCAUCUUGGCUUUUUGUGUGGUACUAAGUAUUCCUGGGCUAAUGGUGAGCAAAAUGGAGAGACUGCCUGUUAGGGGAGAGAAAAAUACCAGUUAUCAAAAUGAUCAGUGAUUACUGGUCCUAAUGCAAUUGUAUUUUGAAAGGAUGCUCAAGAUGGGAAAUGUAGAAUGCUGAAAAUGAAGAGAGCACAGCGUAACAAUUAUGGGUAAUGGAGGAAGAUAAGGGAGUUUAAAGUACUCAAACAUUUCACAGAAUGUAGACUGUAAUAGCAUCUGAUCUAACCAAGAUGGGCCCCAUGCAUGAUCAUUUUCCAUAAAGAGCUGCAUAAGUAAGUUGUUCUUAAGCCCAUACUUCUGUGUCAGUCAAAAUAAUAGAAUUUUUGUCAGCUUAUAAUGAGCUGUAUUUUUUCCAAAAUAUUUUCCUGGCUUUUAGUGAAAAUUCAGUUUUGGACCCAUGUAGCUUAGAAGAGGCUCAUGAGACUUGACAAGCCUGUUGGGUUAUUGGUCAGGCACAGAGUGGAUUUACUCAAGUAUUAAAAUGGUGUACAGAAUACAUACUGGAAAUAGUUUAUUGCAGCCAAACUAGAAUAGAAGGUAUUUAUGCCACCACGUAGAGAUCAAGUAUUCUGAGUCCCUGCACACUAUUAAAUUAUAGGUUCAAUGAAUUACAAGUUGUCUGCAGGAAAUACAAACCAGUCUUUUGGAUAGGAAGUGUGAGGUGUCUAAACUGAGAGUAGGGUGUGGUCCCUUUAAUGAGGCCUUAAGACUUGAAAUCCAGUAAUGGGAAAAGCCAUUUGGCAUAAUGGAUUACGCAUGGUAUCAGAAGGAAUUGGGAAAGCUGUGUGGCUUUAAGACUACUUAGAAACUUUGGAAGAUCAGUGGUAUAAUGUAUAUGAUGUCGAGUGAUUUGGCAAAAUACUAACUACUGAAGUUGUAAUUUCUCAAUGCUAUUCCUAAAUUAAAGAGGCUUUGGAUUAGUGACCUUGUUGCCUUUUCUCAAAAAACAAAUGUGCCUAUGCCUACAUUUGUUUUUAAUCACCCAAGAUCUUAAGUACCUGGAUACCUUAGCUACCUAGUUGGCACUUGUUUGCAUGCUAAAUGUUAGGUGUACAUAAUAUCAUUCAUUAUUGAAGUAGAUGAUAGAAGUGAGGUCUGCACAAAAUUUUCAGGGACGUGUCUGCCCUUUUGUCAAAGCUGGCACACGGGACUUGAAAACAAGUUGUGAAAUUUGCCUUGGGAGCACUCUGACCUCUUUUCCUGCAGUUAUUGCUCCCUUCUCAGUUUUUUCUGGUAAUGUCACAUUUCUUCAGUUGAUAGACUUUGAAUCAAGUUAAUGUGUUUAUGUAUUGUACUGUACUGGGCUCUAAUAAGGUCAGAAGUAAAACACUUGCUGUGUCCUCUGUUAAUAGUGGUACAAAGUGACAGAAGGCACUGUGAGAGAGGUACUUAAUAUCUGAGGCAAGUGAACAGUGGAUUUGAAUCAAAAGCAACCCAGAGGAAUAUAAAUCUUUACAUAUAAACACUUGAUGUAAAGAUUGUAUGCCCCAGGACCUGAGAGUGAUGAAUUGGGAAUUUGGGUAUCAAUUGGGUGGUCAGAUAUGGAACAAAUAAUGUGGAAGAUAAGGCUGAAGUGUUUGGGGGCAACUGUAAUGCUAUGGUCAUUUGAUUUACCUAAAACUUGACUUUUUUUUCAGCGGGAAGACAUAGAGCAGAAAAUCACAUAAUUUAGUCCAUUUGAUUCUGCAGAGUCCACACUUGAACAAAUCAGGACCAAAAAGAGCUAGAACAAAUAAUCCUAAAAUUUGUACGGAACUGAAA